GGCUGUAAAAAGAGAGGUCAUCAGGGUUAGGCGAGACUUUGUUGUUGGAGAGGGACCCCAACUCAAGUUUACUUCAUUUUUCUCAGUCUUUUUGGGAUGGGAAGACCAUCUUCAUCUUGCACUACCUGACAUUUCAGAGGAAGAGCCCAAUCCUGAAGGGUUUUUGGAAAUGUGUUUAGAGAAGACGCUAUGUGAAAAUGUUCCUUAUGUCCUACAGAAAUAGGCACAGGCCGGGCGUGGUGGCUGACCUGCAAUCCCAGUACUUUGGGAGGCCAAGGUGAAUGGAUAAAAAUAUGUUUAUAUAGAGAGUGGAAUAUUAUUCAGUCAUGGAAAAGAAGGAAAUGCUGACAUUUGCAACAACAUGGAAGAACGGAAGGACGUCAUGCUAAGUGAAGGAAGUGAGACCCAGAAAGACAAAUACCACAUGAUUUCACGCAUAUGCAAAAUCUACAAAAGUUGAACUCAUAAAAGCAGAGAGUAGAGCGGUGGCUGGUUAGGAAAAUGGGGAGAUGCUGAUGGAAGGGUCCAAACUUUCAGUUAUAAGAGGCCACUUAAGCAAGAUUCCUGCUCAUGGAACACUAUAUGCUAAUAAAGUUGAUAAUGAAAAUAUACUUUUAAUUUUUCUAGUAAUU
rnacentral:lncRNA from 1 species